GGGUUGUGAGGUUAAGCGACUAAGCGUACACGGUGGAUGCCCUGGCAGUCAGAGGCGAUGAAGGACGUGCUAAUCUGCGAUAAGCGUCGGUAAGGUGAUAUGAACCGUUAUAACCGGCGAUUUCCGAAUGGGGAAACCCAGUGUGUUUCGACACACUAUCAUUAACUGAAUCCAUAGGUUAAUGAGGCGAACCGGGGGAACUGAAACAUCUAAGUACCCCGAGGAAAAGAAAUCAACCGAGAUUCCCCCAGUAGCGGCGAGCGAACGGGGAGGAGCCCAGAGCCUGAAUCAGUGUGUGUGUUAGUGGAAGCGUCUGGAAAGGCGCGCGAUACAGGGUGACAGCCCCGUACACAAAAAUGCACAUACUGUGAGCUCGAUGAGUAGGGCGGGACACGUGGUAUCCUGUCUGAAUAUGGGGGGACCAUCCUCCAAGGCUAAAUACUCCUGACUGACCGAUAGUGAACCAGUACCGUGAGGGAAAGGCGAAAAGAACCCCGGCGAGGGGAGUGAAAAAGAACCUGAAACCGUGUACGUACAAGCAGUGGGAGCCUCUUU
rnacentral:rRNA from 1 species